GAGGUGGUAAUCUUUGUUGACCAUAUAGGCCGUGGUUUCAAACCGCCAGGGUCAAAAUUUUAUCGAGAUGUGCUUGUCAGCUUCCAACUGCAUCCACAAGAUAUUGGUCCCAACUCAGUCUCCAACUUAUGCAAUUUCCAAGUCUUUUGUGAAGUCUAUUUACAAGAAGAACCAACUGCAGAACUGUUCCAGGAUUUCUUUCACUUAAACCGGCGCACAGAGUUUGUGAAUGGCCCGAACACAGAGCUUGGUGGUGUCUCGAUUCAAAAGCGGAAAGAAGUGGAAUUUCCUCAUGCCAAA
rnacentral:rRNA from 1 species